rnacentral:tRNA from 2 species
UCCCGGAUAGCUCAGCGGUAGAGCAAGUGACUGUUAAUCACUGGGUCGCAGGUUCGAUCCCUGCUCCGGGAGCCA